rnacentral:rRNA from 1 species
AGAGUUUGAUCCUGGCUCAGAUUGAACGCUGGCGGCAUGCCUUACACAUGCAAGUCGAACGGCAGCACGGGUGCUUGCACCUGGUGGCGAGUGGCGAACGGGUGAGUAAUAUAUCGGAACGUACCCUAGAGUGGGGGAUAACGUAGCGAAAGUUACGCUAAUACCGCAUACGAUCUACGGAUGAAAGUGGGGGAUCGCAAGACCUCAUGCUCAUGGAGCGGCCGAUAUCUGAUUAGCUAGUUGGUGGGGUAAAAGCCUACCAAGGCGACGAUCAGUAGCUGGUCUGAGAGGACGACCAGCCACACUGGAACUGAGACACGGUCCAGACUCCUACGGGAGGCAGCAGUGGGGAAUUUUGGACAAUGGGGGCAACCCUGAUCCAGCAAUGCCGCGUGAGUGAAGAAGGCCUUCGGGUUGUAAAGCUCUUUUGUCAGGGAAGAAACGGGAUUUUCUAAUACAAAGUCCUAAUGACGGUACCUGAAGAAUAAGCACCGGCUAACUACGUGCCAGCAGCCGCGGUAAUACGUAGGGUGCAAGCGUUAAUCGGAAUUACUGGGCGUAAAGCGUGCGCAGGCGGUUGUGCAAGACAGAUGUGAAAUCCCCGGGCUCAACCUGGGAAUUGCAUUUGUGACUGCACGGCUAGAGUGUGUCAGAGGGGGGUAGAAUUCCACGUGUAGCAGUGAAAUGCGUAGAGAUGUGGAGGAAUACCGAUGGCGAAGGCAGCCCCCUGGGAUAACACUGACGCUCAUGCACGAAAGCGUGGGGAGCAAACAGGAUUAGAUACCCUGGUAGUCCACGCCCUAAACGAUGUCUACUAGUUGUCGGGUCUUAAUUGACUUGGUAACGCAGCUAACGCGUGAAGUAGACCGCCUGGGGAGUACGGUCGCAAGAUUAAAACUCAAAGGAAUUGACGGGGACCCGCACAAGCGGUGGAUGAUGUGGAUUAAUUCGAUGCAACGCGAAAAACCUUACCUACCCUUGACAUGUACGGAACUUACCAGAGAUGGUUUGGUGCUCGAAAGAGAACCGUAACACAGGUGCUGCAUGGCUGUCGUCAGCUCGUGUCGUGAGAUGUUGGGUUAAGUCCCGCAACGAGCGCAACCCUUGUCAUUAGUUGCUACGAAAGGGCACUCUAAUGAGACUGCCGGUGACAAACCGGAGGAAGGUGGGGAUGACGUCAAGUCCUCAUGGCCCUUAUGGGUAGGGCUUCACACGUCAUACAAUGGUACGUACAGAGGGCCGCCAACCCGCGAGGGGGAGCUAAUCCCAGAAAGUGUAUCGUAGUCCGGAUUGUAGUCUGCAACUCGACUACAUGAAGUUGGAAUCGCUAGUAAUCGCGGAUCAGCAUGUCGCGGUGAAUACGUUCCCGGGUCUUGUACACACCGCCCGUCACACCAUGGGAGCGGGUUUCACCAGAAGUAGGUAGCCUAACCGCAAGGAGGGCGCUUACCACGGUGGGAUUCGUGACUGGGGUGAAGUCGUAACAAGGUA